rnacentral:rRNA from 1 species
CCUACGGGAGGCAGCAGUAGGGAAUCUUCCGCAAUGGACGAAAANUCUGACGGAGCAACGCCGCGUGAGCGAAGAAGGCNUUCGGGUNGUAAAGCUCUGUUGUUAGGGAAGAACAAGUGCCGGAGUAACUGCCGGCACCUUGACGGUACCUGACCAGAAAGCCACGGCUAACUACGUGCCAGCAGCCGCGGUAAUACGUAGGUGGCAAGCGUUGUCCGGAAUUAUUGGGCGUAAAGCGCGCGCAGGCGGCCUUUUAAGUCUGAUGUGAAAGCCCCCGGCUCAACCGGGGAGGGUCAUUGGAAACUGGAAGGCUUGAGUGCAGAAGAGAAGAGCGGAAUUCCACGUGUAGCGGUGAAAUGCGUAGAGAUGUGGAGGAACACCAGUGGCGAAGGCGGCUCUUUGGUCUGUAACUGACGCUGAGGCGCGAAAGCGUGGGGAGCGAACAGGAUUAGAUACCCUGGUAGUCCACGCCGUAAACGAUGAGUGCUAAGUGUUGGGGGGUUUCCGCCCCUCAGUGCUGCAGCUAACGCAUUAAGCACUCCGCCUGGGGAGUACGGCCGCAAGGCUGAAACUCAAAUGAAUUGACGGGG